rnacentral:rRNA from 1 species
AUGAGAGAGAGCCUUGUUGCGGAGGCGCGAGGAGUCUAUGUCAUGUAUCAAGGCUGCUGGCUGCGACCCCGGGCCAUGCAAAGCGUCAAGUUGGUGCAAGAGCACUUCAAGGCUCGCCCCGACGACACCCUCCUCGCCACGUUCCCGAAGUGCGGCACCACCUGGCUCAAGGCCCUUGCCUUUACCAUUACAAACCGCUUCGACCACGCCGCCACCAAUGACACCCACCCGCUGCUCACCCGCCACCCUCAGGACCUCGUGCCAUUCCUCGAGAUGCCCUACCGCCAGCUCCACCCUAUCGCCGACCUCGAGAAGCUCGCCUCCCCGAGGCUCCUCGCCACCCACAUGCCGAUCACACUGCUACCUCCGUGCAUGUCCAGCCUAAGUUGCCGUGUUGUGUACCUAUUCCGCGAUCCCAAGGAUGUGUUCGUGUCCCUGUGGCAGUUCUCCAAUGAGGAGAUGAGGGCCGAACCGGUCAAGCACGUCAAGAUGCUCGCCAAGUUCCUCGGUGUCCCCUUCACCGAGGAGGAGAUGAGAUGUGGAGUGGUAGAGGGCGUUCUCAAGAAAAGUUCCGCACCCUCCCGCUCGGCCUCAGCUUUCCUGCCCAACACCGACGCUGCCGCCCCUUACCGCGACACUGGUCGUCCUCGGGCCCGAUGA